rnacentral:rRNA from 1 species
AAUUGGAGGGCAAGUCUGGUGCCAGCAGCCGCGGUAAUUCCAGCUCCAAUAGCGUAUAUUAAAGUUGUUGCAGUUAAAAAGCUCGUAGUUGAAUUUCGGGAUCAGCAGGUCGGUCGUGCCACUGGUAUGCACUGGCCUUGCUGAUUCCUCCUUCUUGAUGAGCCGUAAUGCCAUUAAUUUGGUGUUGCGGGGAAUCAGGACUGUUACUUUGAAAAAAUUAGAGUGUUUAAAGCAGGCAAGCGCUUGAAUACAUUAGCAUGGAAUAAUGAAAUAGGACGUUCGAUCCUAUUUUGUUGGUUUCUAGGAUUGACGUAAUGAUUAAUAGGGAUAGUUGGGGGCAUUAGUAUUCAAUUGUCAGAGGUGAAAUUCUUGGAUUUAUUGAAGACUAACUACUGCGAAAGCAUUUGCCAAGGAUGUUUUCAUUAAUCAAGAACGAAAGUUAGGGGAUCGAAGACGAUCAGAUACCGUCGUAGUCUUAACCAUAAACUAUGCCGACUAGGGAUCGGAUGAUGUUAAUUUUUUAAUGACUCAUUCGGCGCCUUACGGGAAACCAAAGUGU